UCCCGCGCCCUUCGGAGCGCGCCGCCUCCUGAUUGGCCAGCGACGCUCUCGGCCACUCUCGCGCCGUCCGCCGCGGCCAAUAGGACUCUCCGCCGUCUAGAGAGCCGCAUCGCUGGCGUGGUGGCGCAGCUGGUCCCUCGGAUAAACAUCCACCUUGAAGAAGAAAGAACAUCAGGAGCUAAGAUUCAAUUUAACCCUGUAGUGGCUGCUUGGAAGAUGAAGAUGCAGACUCCAGAUUGGUGGUUUAUAUGCUGUUCAUGCAAGAGCCAUGCACUAAAGGAGAGAGCUAACUGUGCUGACCAGUGACCAAAGGCUGCAGGCAUUGGAACAGAUUUGCGGAAGAUACAGGCUAUCUAAGGUAAGAGAAUAACAGUGCAGUAUCUGGAUUAUUUCUCUUGAUUAUUGCUAACUAUAUUGUACA
rnacentral:lncRNA from 1 species